GCGAGGCGUGUGCGCAGCUGCCGGCGUGCGCGGGGCCGCCGAUGGAGCCUCCCCCCGGCGCCGCAGAAAAUUCUAAGCUGAGACAUGUAGAAAAAGAUGUUUUGAUUCCACAAAUAAUGAGGGAUCGAGCCAAGGAGCUGUGCUUAGAUAAGGUGCAAGAAUAAAGGUGAGACAAGUCUUUGGAAAAAACUUACAUACUGACAAAUCUGUGGUGGUGGAGGCAUGUGUACAUCUGCAUUCAGUGAGUAAAGCUCAUUUAGUUCAAAACCCAAAAAACGGAGGAGAAAUUUUU
rnacentral:lncRNA from 1 species